UGUUGCAGUUAAAAAGCUCGUAGUCGAACCUUGGGUCUGGCUGGCCGGUCCGCCUCACCGCGAGUACUGGUCCGGCUGGACCUUUCCUUCUGGGGAACCUCAUGGCCUUCACUGGCUGUGGGGGGAACCAGGACUUUUACUGUGAAAAAAUUAGAGUGUUCAAAGCAGGCCUUUGCUCGAAUACAUUAGCAUGGAAUAAUAGAAUAGGACGUGUGGUUCUAUUUUGUUGGUUUCUAGGACCGCCGUAAUGAUUAAUAGGGAUAGUCGGGGGCGUCAGUAUUCAGCUGUCAGAGGUGAAAUUCUUGGAUUUGCUGAAGACUAACUACUGCGAAAGCAUUCGCCAAGGAUGUUUUCAUUAAUCAGGGAACGAAAGUUAGGGGAUCGAAGACGAUCAGAUACCGUCGUAGUCUUAACCAUAAACUAUGCCGACUAGGGAUCGGACGGGAUUCUAUAAUGACCCGUUCGGCACCUUACGAGAAAUCAAAGUUUUUGGGU
rnacentral:rRNA from 1 species